CGCCUGUUUUUACAAAAACAUGUCCUCUUGAGUAUAAUUUGAGGUCUGACCUGCUCACUGACAAGGUUUUAAAGAGCCGCGGUAUUUUGACCGUGCAAAGGUAGCAUAAUCAUUAGUCUCUUAAUUAGAGGCUGGAAUGAAUGGUUUGACGAGAAAUCAACUGUCUCUUAAUAAUUUUUAAAAUUUAACUUUUAAGUCAAAAGGCUUAAAUUUUUCUUUAGGACGAGAAGACCCUAUAGAGCUUGACAUUUUAUUUUUAUAUAGUUUUUAGCUAGUUUUUCUAUAUUUAAUGAUAAUGUUUUGUUGGGGUGACAUGAAGAAUAAAUAAACUCUUCAUUAUAAAAUCAUUGAUUUAUGUUUAUCAUGAUCCAUAAUUUAUGAUCAUAAGAUUAAGUUACCUUAGGGAUAACAGCGUAAUUGUUUUUGAGAGCUCAUAUUGACAAAACAGAUUGCGACCUCGAUGUUGGAUUAAGAAAAAUUUUGGGUGCAGGAGCUCAAUAAUUAGGUCUGUCGACAUAUCC
rnacentral:rRNA from 1 species